rnacentral:rRNA from 1 species
CUACGGGUUGCAGCAGUGGGGAAUAUUGCACAAUGGACGAAAGUCUGAUGCAGCAACGCCGCGUGGAGGAUGACACUUUUCGGAGCGUAAACUCCUUUUAUAUCCCAAGAUAAUGACGGUAGGAUAUGAAUAAGCACCGGCUAACUCCGUGCCAGCAGCCGCGGUAAUACGGGGGGUGCAAGCGUUACUCGGAAUCACUGGGCGUAAAGAGCGUGUAGGCGGGUUUGUAAGUUGGAAGUGAAAUCCUAUGGCUUAACCAUAGAACUGCUUCCAAAACUGCUUACCUAGAAUGUGGGAGAGGUAGAUGGAAUUUCUGGUGUAGGGGUAAAAUCCGUAGAGAUCAGAAGGAAUACCGAUUGCGAAGGCGAUCUACUGGAACAUAAUUGACGCUGAGACGCGAAAGCGUGGGGAGCAAACAGGAUUAGAUACCCCAGUAGUC